UUUGAGGGGAAUGUCGUCUGGCUCGAGGCGUCCAUAACAUGAGAUCAAUAGAUCUUGUAUCUUCUUUCCUCUUCUUUUACAUCUGGGAGAUCUCGGACCAGGCUUCAUUCCCCCCAAU
rnacentral:pre_miRNA from 1 species